GCUCUGGUAGCUCAGUUGGAAGAGCGGUGCCAGUUGGUGACGAAUUGGAUAAUCUCGUUCAAUGCACUGGCACAUGUUCGAACCAUGCCCACAGCG